GGACCCAAUGUAAGAGUUGUAAACAGUUCUCAGUGAGUGCUGGGGCACACAUUAACCCUCUCACUCAGCAGACUGACUUUCCUUCCUCAAAUGCGACAGGAAAUAAUCUGAAAAAACCUUUCCAUGUUUAGAAGCUUCACUUCCUAUUACGAAGUAGAUAUUGGCAACAUGCACUUCAAUGAUCACACCUUUCACCAUGGGUGGACCAUAUCUUAGAGAAAUGAUCACACGGACCACCCAUCUACUGAUUCAUGAAUGCCCGGACCACCACACCUCCCAUUCAUACAACAUCCUUGUGACAACUAGAGGAACUACUUAUGCAGAAAAGACUACACAUCCGGUGGCUGAUCCUGGUACCCUGGGCUACAUUUCUCUCAACAAAGAGAAAAUUAGGAGGGGGAUGGGGGGAGAUUUGGUUGGUGCUCCCAGCACCACAGAAGUCAUGCACCUUUAAUGUAAAUAUAGUGUAAGCCACACUUUGCUGGAAAAGGAGGUUGGAUUUACAUGGAGGCUAAGACCUUUGUUUGAGGCCUGAUGGAUGCCUCAGGCAGUGGUCUGCAUGGAGUUGGGGCCAUGGUACAAGACAUUCUUGGUAGGCCUGUAUGUUUUAGGAUUCUCUGAAUUUGAGCACUGAAAAAGUGGAAGACUGCUGACUAGUUUGGGAGGCUGUUGCUCCACCCUUAACAUUGCUACCUUUCGGAAUCCUUAUAAUAAAGUUGCAGCCAUUUGCCUAAGACAGACAAUUCUUGUUUCUGUCCUCAUUAGCCCUCUGUCGUUUGCAAUGUGCGAUAUCAGAUAAAUGCUGCACUCUGCUCUAACCACUGACAAACUAGACGUGAGAGAAACCAUGGCAGCUGAGACAGUGUAGUUUGUCGGUACAGUCAGGCUCUUCUUUUCACAAAAAAAUCACAA